rnacentral:rRNA from 1 species
GGCUCAGGACAAACGCUGGCGGCGUGCCUAACACAUGCAAGUCGAACGAGGCAUCUUCUUCGGGAGGUGACCGAGUGGCGGACGGGUGAGUAACACGUGGAUAACCUGCCCUGAUGUGGGGGAUAGCCUUCAGAAAUGAGGGAUAAUACCGCAUAAGAUCUUGAGGAUGGGAGACCGUUCUGAAGAGGGAAGCUUCUGGGGAACUGGAGGCGCAUUGGGAGGGGUCCGCGGCCGAUUAGCUAGUUGGUGUGGUAAGAGCGCACCAAGGCGACGAUCGGUAGCUGGUCUGAGAGGAUGGUCAGCCACACUGGGAUUGAGAACGGCCCAGACUCCUACGGGGGGCAGCAGUGAGGGAUCUUCGGCAAUGGGGGCAACCCUGACCGAGCAACGCCGCGUGCGGGAUGACGCUUUUCGGAGUGUAAACCGCUUUUCUGGGGGACGAGGGAGUACGGACGGUACCCCAGGAAGAAGUCUCGGCUAACUACGUGCCAGCAGCCGCGGUAAUACGUAGGAGACGAGCGUUGUCCGGAGUUACUGGGCGUAAAGGGUGCGCAGGUGGCCGUGCGCGUGGGGGGUGAAAUCGCCCGGCUUAACUGGGCGGGGGCCUUCCAGACGGCGUGGCUUGAGGAGCGGAGGGGGGCGUGGAAUUCCGGGUGGAGCGGUGAAAUGCGUAGAGAUCCGGAGGAACACCGACGGCGCAGGCAGCGCCCUGGCCGCGAUCCUGACACUGAGGCACGAAAGCUGGGGGAGCAAACAGGAUUAGAUACCCUGGUAGUCCCAGCCGUAAACGAUGUCCACCAGGUGCCGGGCGGAUCGACCCGUUCGGUGCCGCAGCUUACGUGAUGAGUGGACCGCCUGGGGAGUACGGCCGCAAGGUGAAA